rnacentral:lncRNA from 1 species
GGAUUUUUCCUAAUUGUGCUUGCCCUUUAUAACAUCUAUGAGCUUAACACCCUAAGUCCGACCAUAUAAACUUAGAGCUCUGAUACUACUCUGUAACGACUCGAGAACCGGACCGCUACCGGCGUUAGGAUUCAAAUCGACUUAAGGUUGCCGGAACCCGUAGUGAGCCUACUAUACAUCCUGUUACGCCUGAUAUAAUCCCAUACAUGAUUACACAAACAACAAAAAAUAUAAUCAUUAUAUGAACCAAGACUCGUCUUGUGCAUACAUCAUAAUUGAAAACAUAAAAACCAUACUAGAACCCUCAUCAACUGCUCCAAUAUGGUCAACAUAACACUCAAGUUCGGUUCAAACAUAACUUAUACUUAAAAAUUUUUACAUAAAAGAAUCAUGAAGCAAGGAUUGCAAGGAAGAAUCUGGGCAAAGCACAAUUAUGAUUCAC